rnacentral:rRNA from 1 species
UACGAAGGGUGCAAACGUUGCUCGGAAUCAUUGGGCGUAAAGCGCACGUAGGCGGCCCGAUAAGUCGGAUGUGAAAUCCCUCGGCUCAACCGAGGACGUGCAUUCGAAACUGUCGGGCUCGAGUAUGGAAGAGGAUCGCGGAAUUCCCGGUGUAGAGGUGAAAUUCGUAGAUAUCGGGAGGAACACCAGUGGCGAAGGCGGCGAUCUGGGUUGAUACUGACGCUGAGGUGCGAAAGCGUGGGGAGCGAACAGG